rnacentral:rRNA from 1 species
AAGCGGGGAUAUACAUAUAAGACGAGAAGACCCCAUGGAGCUUUAAACCUGACAGCACCCGCUCAUUCUAUACCCCAUUAUUUGCCCGACCCCUGUCUGCUCAGUUUUAGGUUGGGGUGACCACGGAGUAUAAAAUAACCUCCAUGAAGAAGGGGAUAUUUCCCUUAUUAGAGAACCACACUUCCAAGAACUAAUAAAUUAAUUUUCAAUGACCCGAUACCCGAUAAUCGAUCAACGAACCAAGUUACCCUGGGGAUAACAGCGCAAUCCACCCU